AUUGAACGCUGGCGGCAGGCCUAACACAUGCAAGUCGAGCGGAUGAAGGGAGCUUGCUCCUGGAUUCAGCGGCGGACGGGUGAGUAAUGCCUAGGAAUCUGCCUGGUAGUGGGGGAUAACGUCCGGAAACGGGCGCUAAUACCGCAUACGUCCUGAGGGAGAAAGUGGGGGAUCUUCGGACCUCACGCUAUCAGAUGAGCCUAGGUCGGAUUAGCUAGUUGGUGGGGUAAAGGCCUACCAAGGCGACGAUCCGUAACUGGUCUGAGAGGAUGAUCAGUCACACUGGAACUGAGACACGGUCCAGACUCAUACGGGAGGCAGCAGUGGGGAAUAUUGGACAAUGGGCGAAAGCCUGAUCCAGCCAUGCCGCGUGUGUGAAGAAGGUCUUCGGAUUGUAAAGCACUUUAAGUUGGGAGGAAGGGCAGUAAGUUAAUACCUUGCUGUUUUGACGUGACCAACAGAAUAAGCACCGGCUAACUGCGU
rnacentral:rRNA from 1 species